CAUGUACCAGUGGGGUCCCUCGGCCAGGCCUGUGCCCUCUCACAAUCUGGGACCCCUCAGGGGAUGUUGGAGAGCCAGUUUCAGCCCGGUCCCUCAGGCCAGGCCGAGGGACCCCACUGGUGCAUG
rnacentral:pre_miRNA from 1 species